AUACUUUGGCAGCAAUAUAUACUACGAUUGGAAUGAUAGAGAGAAGAUUAGCAUGGCCCCUGUAAAAUGCUGGCAUACAAAUUCAUGAAACAUUCCAUUUUUUU